UAGAAUGAAAAUCCGUUGGUUUCACGGGACCGUGAGGGUUCGAAUCCCUCUAUCCCCAGC
rnacentral:tRNA from 5 species